rnacentral:rRNA from 1 species
UGGGGGAUAUUGCACAAUGGGCGAAAGCCUGAUGCAGCGACGCCGCGUGGGGGAUGAAGGCUUUCGGGUUGUAAACCUCUUUCGCUAUCGAACAAGGCCCGCUUAGGGUGGGUUGAGGGUAGGUGGAGAAGAAGCGCCGGCUAACUACGUGCGAGCAGCCGCGGUAAUACGUAGGGCGCGAGCGUUGUCCGGAAUUAUUGGGCGUAAAGGGCUUGUAGGCGGCUUGUUGCGCCUGCUGUGAAAACGCGGGGCUUAACUUCGCGCGUGCAGUGGGUACGGGCAGGCUUGAGUGUGGUAGGGGUGACUGGAAUUCCAGGUGUAGCGGUGGAAUGCGCAGAUAUCUGGAGGAACACCGAUGGCGAAGGCAGGUCACUGGGCCAUUACUGACGCUGAGGAGCGAAAGCAUGGGUAGCGAACAGG